rnacentral:rRNA from 1 species
AUGCUCUCGGAUGCCCCUGACCAGCUUGUUUGGAAGUGGACGGCCUCCGGCACCUACACUGCCCACUCCUGCUACCUCGCCACAUUCCAGGGAUCCACAACUUGCUUCUCUUGGAAGCUUAUCUGGAAGAGUUGGGCGCCGCCACGUGUGAAAUUUUUCCACUGGCUGGCCAACCUUGAUAGGUGCUGGACUGCUGAUCGCCAUGCUAGGCGUGGUCUCCAGCACCAGCCCCGAUGCCCGCUGUGCGACCAGCCUCCUGAGAUGAUGCGUCACUUACUCCUGGAGUGCCCUUUCGCCAGACAGACUUGGCAUGAGGUCCUAGCUUGGCUCAGGAUGACCAACGCAGGCCCAAACCAGGAAGAUAUCCUCAUGGACUGGUGGCUCCAUGCCAAGCAAAACACGCCUACACAGAUGCGCAAGGGUCUCGCCUCCAUUGCCCUCCUGAUGCCGUGGAUGAUCUGGAAGCAGCACAAUUUUUUCUGCAUAUUCGAUGGUGCCCAGCCUCUCGACCAUGCCCUGGUUUCUAAGAUCAAGGAUGAAGUUGGGCAAUGGACACGAGCUGGUGCCCGUGGCCUGCGGGUCAUCUUGCCAACCACCUGGGAUGUACACUAA